rnacentral:rRNA from 1 species
UACGGAAGGGGCAAGCGUUGUUCGGAAUCAUUGGGCGUAAAGGGCGCGUAGGCGGUCACGUAUGUCUGCUGUGAAAGCGCACGGCUCAACCGUGUGAAGUCGGUAGAAACUGCGGGACUUGAGGCUGGGAGAGGUUGGUGGAAUUCCCUGUGUAGCGGUGAAAUGCGUAGAUAUAGGGGAGAACACUCGUGGCGAAGGCGGCCAGCUGGACCAGCCCUGACGCUGAGGCGCGACAGCGUGGGGAGCAAACAGG